GUUGGUUGAAAAUCACACUGACCAUGACCAUGACCGUGGGUGAGACUUAACCCUCUGAGAUUCCAGGGAUGUCAGUGUGAUUCCCAUUGCUUCCAUGUGGGUAAGUGAAAAAAGUGACAAGU